rnacentral:snRNA from 1 species
GUGCUGGCUUCUGCUUUGGCAGCACAUAUACUAAAAUUGAAACAAUACAGAGAAGAUUAGAAUGACUCCUGUGCAAGAAUGACUUUGUGAAGUAUUCCAUAUUCUU